rnacentral:lncRNA from 1 species
AUUCCAAUUCUUUCUCUGCACAAACAAAACCGCAAACCAUUUCUUUCUUAAUACCAAGAUACCGCCUUCACAAAUCUCAUUUCCUUCUCUGCACAACUCCACCGAAACCACUGCAAUUCCUCUCCACAACCACACCUCACCUCUUCCUCUGCCUUAGACCGAGAGCAUCCGAGAGAGAGGGCUACCUGGUGAACUACAUCCGUGAGCUUGGGAGGGGGAAACGUGAGCUGCCAGAAAUUUUUUUUUUUUGGUUCUGCCGUGAGCUGGAGUGAAACCAGGGAGAAGAUUUUCAGGAAGCUUCACCAUUCUGCAUCUUCAUCUCCGCCAACUCCAACCAACCGAACUCAAAUCCACCAGCUACAACCAAUCCCAGCCGCAACUUAGGAGCCAGGAACCACCGACUGCUCUUAAGCCGAGAGCAAGGAAGAAAUUUCUGGAAAUUUUCGUGUGAGAGAUUAGCUGCUAUCUAAGGUAAUUUCUGGACUAAUUAAGUUGAUUGUGAGUUGAGCAAGCUACAUCUGAGCUUGCAUGUAAGGAUUGUGCAGGCGGAUGUUGAAAUCAAACCAUUAGAAAAUUUCUGUUUUGGUUAAAAAUUUCUGCCGAGGAGCUGGCUUGAAAUUGUAGUUUUAUUUCUGACUUCCUGCGACAAUCUGAGUUUGAUUAGGUGUUUAACUAAUAAAAAACAAGAAGUUUAAGUUAUCUAAGAACUUGCAUGUGGAUGAUAGGCAGCCGGAUGGGAGCUUUAAGAAAUUAAGUUCGGUUAUGUGCAUGUUUUGGAGCUGCCGAGAGCUUAGCUUGAUUAUUGCAGCCUGUGUUGGUUCAAUUUUGUUGUUUAAGCUUAUAACCAUAAUUAGAUAGUUAAUUACAAGUUAAUUAGGCUCUGCAUGCAGCUAAUUAGUUAGUUUAAACCAGAAAAAUAAAAUGAAAACAGAACAUCUCUUCAUGCAUGUUCAUCCGUGGCUUAUGGGCAGAUUUCUGGAUUUUUGUUUUGGAUGAUUUUAGUUGCUGUUUGAAUCUAGUUUUGAAGUGGAAAUUUUUACUAGCUAGCUAAGUGUUUACAUGCUGGAUUUGAGUACCUAACACCAUGUUCAAACCAAAGGAAAAUUUGAUCUAAAGUAUACUAGUUGCUGGAAAAUUUUGGAAGCCGCAAGGUUGAGCCAGAAAUUUCAGUUUGUCCUUUGAAAAUUUUAUUGGUUUCUGGAAAUUGAUUUUAUUUUUUCCCUUGGGAUAUAAUGGUUUAGAAAUACAUAAGAGUUGUAAGUUUUAAGUUGUGUAAGUUGUUUAGCAAUGAAAUAAUUGAUAAAUUGGAAGAUGGAACCAGAAAUGUUGGUAUAUACAUCCUGGAAUUUCUUAUGUGAUAGUCAAAGGUUGAGUUGGAAUCUUAGCUUGGUUUGUAAUUUUUCCUUGAAUCAUGAUGGAUGGAAAUGCUUGGAAUGUGUUGUUUUGGAGUUCUAUAAGAAAUGUAUGAAUGGUUGAAUAAAAACAUUUUGGUGUUAAAAGAGAAAAAGGAGUUUUUCACAAGUGAAAAAUGAGAUUUCAGAUUUUCGGAUUUCACUGACCAGUCUCAGUAAAAUGCUUAUAUCUUGGUGUAGGAAAAUCCGUUUAAGGUGCCGUCAGUGGCAUUUGAAACUAGAAUCAUGGGCCUUUGUUCUGUAGAAAUUUCAUAUUUUUCCUCCAUGUGUACCGCUGUCCGUGACUCCUCAAAGUAGACUGUCCUGCUUGAAUGUCCUGUUUCUUUAUGAAACUGAAUUCUUGACUUGGAUCGAACAUUUAGCUUAUUUGUGGUUUGAAUUCUUGAUUGAAUUGUGGUUGGAAGCGAUUGAUGUUGUCAAGGGCUAAUGAUUGAUGAAGCCCUUGGCCAUUUGAAUGAUUUUAUACAAGUAUUAAAGGGUGAUGAAAGUUAAUUUCUGGAAUUGCUUGGAGGCCUUACAUUCAUUUUGAUUUAGUUGAGACGUAAUAUGAGCUUGCCAAAACCAAGUGCUAAUGAUUGAUGAAGCCUUGGUCAUUUAUUUUAUUCUUGAUCGGAAAUGAAUCUAUUGAAACCUAGGGCUAAUGAUUGACGAAGCCCUAGUGACUUGCUAUUGAAAUGUGAUUUUGAUGUGUUGGCAAACCUGAGUUACAAUGUGAUUUCGAAGUGGAAUCGAAAUUGUGAAAUUCAUUUCGACCCUGUGAAUUCGAGAAUGUUUCAGGGGAAUUACUUAAACAUAGCUUGUGCUUGGCAUUAAACGAUAAAACUUAGUAUCGUACUUUUAAGUAGAAACUCUUGCGUAAGGAUUUUCUAAACUUUGCCGACUCGACGAUUCCUUCUUAAGCUUAAAUUAGCUUUAGUACUUUUCUUAGAAAAUGAUUUCAUUUGUUUUAAAAUCCUAGGUACUAGCUUACUUUUCUUUUCAUUCCUUAAAAGCUGCCCCUGACUAGUUGUUUUGAGAAACUCGUUAAAAACGCGAGAUUUCAAUAGUUUUAAACAAAAGGCGUAGAAGACUUGUUCGGUAAGCAAACUUAUUCAAGUAAAGCAGCUCUAGCUACAUCUUUAGAAAGAAAAGUAAUAUAAGGAAACUAUACGAAAUAUUUUAUUACUUUUACCAGUUUUAAUCCUUAGUGGAUUAUCGACUUAUUUCAAGAAAAUAAUACUAGUUACCCUUCUAUAAGGAAAAAUAUCUCAAGGAAAACUAUAAGAAACAUUUUCUCUACUUUUGUCAAGUCCCAACCUAAGUAGAUUUUUGUAAUUACUUUGAGGAAGUAAACUAGUAAUAUAUUAGAUAAUCCUCUAUACGAAUAAGCUUAAAAAUUGAAUAGAGAACUUAUAGUUUCAAAAUUUGGUUUUUAGGAUAUUGCGAGGACGCGGAAUUCGAUUCCCGGCUUGACCUUUGAACUUCACUCUUGGUGAGUGUCCCUGCUUGUUCUAUGCUUACCUGAUUAAUGCGCUUUCUUGGCUUGAUAUGUGACAUUUGGAAAUAUGGUUUUGAUCCAUCGAAGUGAGCUAUGUGUACUUUACCACAUUAGCCGUUCGAGUGGUGACUUGCUUGAAAUGUUUUCGUGAAUAUCCUGCUUGCACUAUCUACAUGCUGGACGCAACGUCGCUGGGUGAAUCCCUCGACUAGUCUAUAAUAACCUCAUGCUGGACGCAACAUCGCUGGGUGAAUCCCUCGACCAGUCUAUACUAAUCUCAUGUCUAUACUAAUCUCAUGCUGGACGCAACGUCGCUGGGUGAAUCCCUCGACCAGUCUAUACUAAUCUCUUGCUGGACGCAACGUCGUUGAGGAAAUCCCUCGACCAGUCCCAGGUAUACUCGAGUACUACCGCUCUCAUUUAUUUUGUCGUGCGGGCCCGGAGCUGGGGUAUGUUCGGUGGCCGGAGCUAAGAAAAAUAAGAGUAUCUACAUGGACUUUAAGUAGUGAGAGUUGACGGAGGGUCGACUUCGGUAAUUUCUGAUCAAGCAAGGAGAAUGGAUCCUGAGAGCCCCUGUAUCCUACCUUGUGCUGUUACACGUUUUCCUAUUUGUUUACGUUAAUUAAAAUCAAUACGUGAUAUUUGUUUUAUUUGAUUGCAUGUUUUGGGGCACCACUGAGCUUUAGCUCACCCCACGUUUAUUUGUUUUCCUUGACUGGUUCUGGAAAUUGAAGGCUUUGAAACUUAUCCAUGUUUCGUUUUGGGAUGUAUUUGUAUACUAUGACUAUUUGUGUGGGCUGUAGUGUGUUAAAUUUGGAUAAUGUACUUUUUAUUUUGGAUUGCCACUUGAAGCUGGAAAAUGUGUAAAACUUAAUUUGGAUGCUUGGCUUGAUUGUUGUAUUUUGUUGUAUGAAUUUUUUUUUAGUUGGGACGGUACGAUUCUAUUCCGCAGUUCGCAACGCGUGAAAUGUUUAGGAGCCGUCGUUUGGCUAUUUUAAAUCGCUGCUAUCUCUGAAGUUAAUGUGGUUUUAGUGACGGUCUUCUUCGGAGGAAUUGUUUUGUAAUAGAUUAGGUUAUUCUUCGAAAGGUUUUGGGUUAGAAUGCUUGCGUGAGUCCUGGCGAGAGCUGGGCAGACGGCCCGCCAACCCUUUGGUUCGCCUUAGGGGGAAGUGGGGUCGCCACACAGCUCCUUUUCUUUCUUUCUCUUAAGUCCCUUGCUUUUAUUAUUAGUGGUUGACAACAGAUUGACACUUUCUGUCUGAUCUUGUUUCAACCUUUUCUCUUCUUCUACAUAGUGUGAGAUGAGUUCAUUUAGAGAUCAAGUCUCUUUUUGACAGUUGUAACUCACCUUAAAUUGACUAAAUUGUGUAAGAAGAGAUAUUAAAAUCAAAUGCACUAGUAACUCUUCGGAGAGUUUCAAUUUAAGUGCAUUCAAUUUUGAGACAA